CUUAGUUUGGAUUCCAAAACUCGCAGCAUGUGCAAAGGGACAGGCCCAGGCCACCACGGGUCGUCUGCUGGCUGGCCGCAGCGCGUCCCACCUCGGCGGAUCCUGGACCCUGAGCCUGUGCAGCUCCUGCACCCCUCCUGAGUGUCUCCUCUCAGCCUCAGUGCACUCCCCUUGUCUCUCGUGCACACCGUUCACACCAACUGCACCCCACCUUGCACAAGCAGAGCUAAUGUACCAAUUCUGACCAUCUCUUAGCAGCAGAUUCCACUCCCAUUUAAAGUAAACCCAAAGCUCACUCUUGGAUUUUCUUUACUCAUUGAGAAGGGUUGUGUGAACCCCUCGCCCUCCUGUGUCCCUCCAGGGAGCACAGAGUGGGCUGGGGUGACACAUUGUCCCACUGGUAGAGCUCACGGAAAAUGCUUCUUUAGACGCGGAAACGAAACGUCUGUACCCGAAUGACAACAACUCAAUAUCACUGGGUAACUUCUCAUGAUAGAUUUGUAUAAUCAAUACGGGUCUAUUUUUA
rnacentral:lncRNA from 1 species